GGUUCGACAAUCCGACGAAUGUAUGCAAAGUUAUUGACAAAAACGUCGUUUUUCGUACAGAUAGCCGCAGCACGCGGACUAGGGCUUCAAAAAUUUCAAGAAAUUCACCGUAGCAUCCUUGUAACCAUCUAAGGUGGGUGGUGCAUUCCAAGGACAUCGGAAAUCCCUUUAUGUCUAAAGCGUCAUAUUUGAGCAUAUGUACUUAUAUUGAGCAUGUUGCAUAGUAGGGUUAAUUGUAAAUUUCUAUUGCAUGACAUGAGUUUUAAUGCUUGAGAAAUAGUAGUAAAUGAAUGAGAAUUGGUAACCCUAUAUAUGCAUGACAUGGGACAAGAACCUAGAAGGGUUAGUAAAUAAAUGUGACAUGUUGACGUAGACAUAGAGUGUGGCAUGAGUACAAGAACAUAGCACCUAGAAAACAAGUGUGGCACCAAUGACAAAGAACAAGAACAAGUCGUGUACAUGACACUAGUAGAGGUUAGAGAAUGCAAGUGAAUUCGGUUAGUGACAUUAUGACAAAUGCACCUUAGAGUUAAGGGUCAUAUGAACAUGGUUCUCCUUGGAGUCAGGGAAUGGAUUGAACUUGGAAUCCUUAAAGUUAAGGAUUGAUCGUACUCACCUAAUAGUCCUUGCUCGAGGGCGGUAGCUCCCCCUCGGGCGAUGUGCUCCGGAGUUGUCAUCACUGGGUCGUAGCGGUUAUCUCCCCAGAGGGCGGUCCCGUCGGGUCGUAGCGGUUAUCUCCCCGACUAUAGGGAUUUGGGUUGGUGAGUUUGUGAGGGCGAAACCUACGGGCUAGCCAUGAGAUUGGGUAAUGAAAAGUUAAUCUUGCAUUCAUCAUGAGCAUUCUAUCGAGCAUAGUUUUAUUUAUCGUUCAGGCAUAUUAGCUGCAUUUGUUAGUUGGUUAUUAUCUAUUCUUUCUUCUAUUAUGCCUGAUUAGACCUAGUGGGAUAGUCGGCGUGGUUGGUUGCCGAACCCACUGGGAACUUUGUUGUAGUUCUCACCCCACUAUUUCCACAGAGCCGGGACCGAGCGAGCCGGCAGAUGAUCGCGGUAAGGGCAUCGCGCCCUAGGUAGAGACCGCCCGAGAUGGAUUUCAUUUUGUAGUUGCACACCCUUUACUAUCAUCUUUUGUAUUUGAUGAUUUUAGUAUUAUGAACUUGCUUUAAUGAAUGAUGUAAAGAAUAUUUACUUUAAAUGUCAAAAGUUAUAUUUUGGGAGAAAUGAGAUGUAAAAAGAAAUGAUGCAAGAAUGUGACAGAACUUGAUUAUAGUUGGAUACAUGUAUGUGAUUUAAAUUUAGUCAUAUUACUUGUAUAUUGAAUGGUUAAUUCUUUCACCUUGGCUAUUGCUUGCCCUCGUGCAAGCCAUUGUGUAUGCUUCCGCUUAUGCAAAUUUGUACUCUAUUGAUACUUGUGUUGGGCCUUGGGCAGACAGGGGAAGCUCUGUCCGUUUGGCGUCUGUUUGACGCU
rnacentral:lncRNA from 1 species